rnacentral:lncRNA from 12 species
CCUCAGGUCUUAUGGUGAGGCUGAGGAAAAUGUGGGGCCACGUCAAGACUGAGAGGACCCCCGUCCUCCUCAGGACCUGCACUUUGGCUUCGGGACACAUGGGGCUCCAUCAAGGCUGACAGGAACCCACAGCCUCCUCAGGAUGCGCGGUGAGUUUUCAGGGGAUGUGGGGCCAUGUCCAGGCUGACGGGAGCCCCCGGCCUCCUGAAAACCUGCUGUGAGGCUUCCAGAGGAUGUGAGGCAUACUCCACAGUGACAGGAGACCCGGUGUCCUCAGGACCCGCUGACUAUGACUCUGGAACACGUGGGGCCACGUGCGCACUCACAGGAGCCCAGCUUCCUCAGGACCCCCUAGAGGACUCUGGAGGCGCCGUUGGGGGCCACAUCCACAUCAGAAGGGACUACUCAGAACCACAGGGACCUGCACUUUGGCUUCGGGAAAUAUGGGGCUGGGUCUAUGCUGACAGGAGCCCACAGCUUCAUCAGAACCCAGAGUGAGUUUUCUGGGGGAUGUGAGGCCAUGUCUAGGCUGACAGGAGCCCCUGGCCUCCUGAGGACUUGCUGUGAGGCUUCCAGAGGAUGUGAGGCAUAGUCCACAGUGACAGGAGACGCGGCGUCCUCUGGACCCACUGACUAUGACACAGGAACACGUGGGGCCAUGUCCGCACUCACAGGAGCCUGGCUUCCUCAGGACCCCCUGGAGGACCCUGGAGGCGCCGUUGGGGGCCACGUCCAUAUCAGAAGAGACUCCUCAGAACCACAGGGUAAGUGAAUGGGUAGAAUGAAUGGUAGGGUCAGGGGAGGGGAGG